GACGAACGCUGGCGGCGUGCUUAACACAUGCAAGUCGAACGGUAAGGCCCUUCGGGGUACACGAGUGGCGAACGGGUGAGUAACACGUGGGUGAUCUGCCCUGCACUUCGGGAUAAGCCUGGGAAACUGGGUCUAAUACCGGAUAGGACCCUGGGAUGCAUGUCCUGGGGUGGAAAGCUUUUGCGGUGUGGGAUGGGCCCGCGGCCUAUCAGCUCGUUGGUGGGGUGAUGGCCUACCAAGGCGACGACGGGUAGCCGGCCUGAGAGGGUGACCGGCCACACUGGGACUGAGAUACGGCCCAGACUCCUACGGGAGGCAGCAGUGGGGAAUAUUGCACAAUGGGCACAAGCCUGAUGCAGCGACGCCGCGUGAGGGAUGACGGCCUUCGGGUUGUAAACCUCUUUCAGCACCGACGAAGCGCAAGUGACGGUAGGUGCAGAAGAAGGACCGGCCAACUACGUGCCAGCCGCCGCGGUAA
rnacentral:rRNA from 1 species